rnacentral:rRNA from 1 species
AGUGAACGCUGGCGGUAGGCCUAACACAUGCAAGUCGAACGGCAGCACAGUAAGAGCUUGCUCUUACGGGUGGCGAGUGGCGGACGGGUGAGGAAUACAUCGGAAUCUACUUUUUCGUGGGGGAUAACGUAGGGAAACUUACCCUAAUACCGCAUACGACCUACGGGUGAAAGCAGGGGAUCUUCGGACCUUGCGCGAUUGAAUGAGCCGAUGUCGGAUUAGCUAGUUGGCGGGGUAAAGGCCCACCAAGGCGACGAUCCGUAGCUGGUCUGAGAGGAUGAUCAGCCACACUGGAACUGAGACACGGUCCAGACUCCUACGGGAGGCAGCAGUGGGGAAUAUUGGACAAUGGGCGCAAGCCUGAUCCAGCCAUACCGCGUGGGUGAAGAAGGCCUUCGGGUUGUAAAGCCCUUUUGUUGGGAAAGAAAAGCAGCAGGUUAAUACCCCGCUGUUCUGACGGUACCCAAAGAAUAAGCACCGGCUAACUUCGUG